GGGUCUGUAGCUCAGUUGGUUAGAGUGCGCGCCUGAUAAGUGCGAGGUCGGAGGUUCAAGUCCUCCCAGACCCACCA
rnacentral:tRNA from 2 species